ACAAAAAGAAGAAAAAUAAGAAUUUUACCCUUGAAGAUUCGAGCUUCCUCAGGUACAAGUUCACCUCAAAAUCCUUUCGCGUUCAACUUAAAUCCGCCGAGUUUAGUUCCUUCCUUUGAUCAACGUUAGCCUUUGAUCAACGUUAGCCACCCAAGUGUUUGGCCUCUAGAGGUGAUCCACCAAGGAAGAAGAAAGAUUUAAGAAG
rnacentral:lncRNA from 1 species